GACGAACGCUGGCGGCGUGCUUAACACAUGCAAGUCGAACGGAAAGGCCCUGCUUGCAGGGUACUCGAGUGGCGAACGGGUGAGUAACACGUGGGUGAUCUGCCCUGCACUUCGGGAUAAGCCUGGGAAACUGGGUCUAGUACCGGAUAGGAGCCAUUUUUAGCGUGAUGGUUGGAAAGUUUUUUCGGUGUAGGAUGAGCUCGCGGCCUAUCAGCUUGUUGGUGGGGUAAUGGACUACCAAGGCGGCGACGGGUAGCCGGACUGAGUGGGUGGACGGCCACAUUGGGACUGAGGUACGGCCCAGACUCCGAAGGGAGGCAGCAGUGCGGAAUAUUGCACAAUGGGCGCAAGCCUGAUGCAGCGAGGCCGCGUGGGGGAUGACGGCCUUCGGGUUGAAAACUCCUUUCGCUAGGGACGAAGCUUUUUGUGACGGUACCUAGAGAAGAAGCACCGGCUAACUACGUG
rnacentral:rRNA from 1 species